UGCCUACGGGGGGCAGCAGUAGGGAAUCUUCCACAAUGGGCGAAAGCCUGAUGGAGCAACGCCGCGUGGGUGAAGAAGGUCUUCGGAUCGUAAAACCCUGUUGUUAGAGAAGAAAGUGCGUGAGAGAAACUGUUCACGUUUCGACGGUAUCUAACCAGAAAGCCACGGCUAACUACGUGCCAGCAGCCGCGGUAAUACGUAGGUGGCAAGCGUUAUCCGGAUUUAUUGGGCGUAAAGAGAACGCAGGCGGUCUUUUAAGGUUGAUGGGAAAGCCUUCGGCUUAACAGGAGUAUUGAAUUGGAAAC
rnacentral:rRNA from 1 species